AUUAUCUAUGAAGACAUUUCCAUUUCUUUUGUUAAUAUUUCUGUUAACAGGAGAAUACGUUUGUGGCGGAGUUGCUCAGUUGGCGCAAUGCAAUGCAGCUGAUAGAGAAGCUCUUCUUGACUUCAAAAUGGGUCUCAAUGAUUCUUGGAACGGCCUCUCGUCAUGGCAAGGAACCAAUUGCUGUCAGUGGUCGGGAAUUUCUUGUGAUAACACUACUGGUGUUGUCCUCUCUGUUGAUAUCACACCUUCAUCGGGUUACAGAUUGAGUGGACAGAUCAGACCUUCACUGGCAGAACUCAAGUUCUUGAAACAUCUGGACUUAAGUUCGAAUGAUUUCAAUGGGACACUUCCUACUUUCCUUGGAAAUAUGACAUCUCUCUUGUAUCUUGAUUUAUCCAGAAAUGAUUUCAAAGGUGAGAUUCCAAAUUCGUUGGGCCAACUCAAAAAUCUUACCCAUCUCUCUUUGUGUUAUAACUCACUUCAAGGUCUUAUCCCUGCUUUCACUGGAAAUUUACAGCAAUUAGCUUUUCUUGAACUCAAUUCAAAUAAGCUGAAUGGUACUCUCCCAGAUAGCUUAGGACAGCUCUCUGAGUUGAUUCAUCUUGAUGUUUCUUCAAAUGAAUUGACAGGUAUUAUCUCAGAAGCACAUUUUUUGCAGCUAAAUAAAUUGAAUUACUUGUCUUUGUCUGCAAACUCACUCAGUUUCAAUGUCAGUUCCAAUUGGGUCCCUCCAUUCCAGAUUUCUGGAAUGGAUAUGGAUUCAUGCCAUUUUGGUUCUUCGUUUCCUGCUUGGCUUAAAUCUCAAAAAGAGAUGCAAUAUUUAGUUAUCUCAAACUGUAGCAUUUCUGGCUCUAUUCCAAAUUGGUUUUGGGGCAAGUCUGAGAAUCUGGUAUUUUUAAAUGUUUCUUUCAAUGAUUUAGAUGGGCAAUUGCCAAAUUCAUUGAAUUUAACUCUAGCAAAGAUGAUUGAUUUCAGUCACAACCAUUUCCAAGGACUCGUUCCUUUCAUUCUUGCACCAAAUGCCGUGCUACUAGAUCUUUCCAAUAAUCAAUUCUCUGGUCCUAUGCCAAGCAAUAUUAGUCAAAUGGUGCCCGCCUUAUCCUACCUUUCUCUUUCCAGUAACCAGCUGAACGGUGAAAUCCCAGCCUCAAUUGGAGAAAUGAAAAAUCUUGAAAAGUUGGAUCUUUCAAGAAAUAAUUUGACAGGAAGCAUUCCUUCAAGCAUAGGCAAUUGUCCUUUUCUCCAAGUUCUGGACCUUCAAAACAACACCUUCUUCGGUGGGAUUCCAACAUCUUUGGGUCAGUUGAGUUCGCUUCUAACACUUCGUCUGAGCAAGAACUUGUUUUCAGGAGAAAUCCCAUCAUCUCUUCAGAAUAUGUCAUAUUUACAAACUUUGGACCUCUCCAACAACAUGUUGACUGGUAGGAUACCACCUUGGAUUGGAGAAACUGUCUUUGCUCUCAUAAUACUUAGCUUGAGAUCAAAUAACUUUUACGGAGAACUUCCUCCAGCACUUUCAAAUUUGACUUCUUUGCAAAUUUUGGACCUAGCAGAAAACAAAUUCAAUGGUUCCUUUCCUGCCUCGUAUGGAAAUAUUAAAGCCAUGACACAUCUGCAAAAUGAGGCCCAGCGGGAUUUGUUUCUGAGAGAUUUUUACAAUGAGUACAUGUAUGCAAUAAAAAAUGGCCUUGAACUGUUGUACACCAAAAAUCUUUACCUUUUAACCAUCAUGGAUCUUUCUGGGAAUAAUUUAUCUGGAGAGCUUUCGUCAGAAAUAACAAAACUAGUUGGUUUGAAAGUUUUGAACCUGUCAAGAAACCAUAUCAAUGGCCAGAUUCCUGAGAACAUUUCAGAAUUGAGGGAGUUGUUAUCUCUUGAUCUCUCAAGCAAUAUGCUUUCUGGUCCAAUUCCUCAAGGCAUGUCUUCAAUGUCAUUUUUGGGAAGCUUAAAUCUAUCAAACAAUAAUUUGUCAGACAGAAUUCCAUAUAAAGGUCACAUGACAACCUUUGAUGCAUCUUCGUUUGCUGGAAAUUCAGGCCUCUGCGGAGAACCUCUCGUUUUGAAAUGUCCAGAUGAUGAUACAAACAACCAUGAUGAUCCAGGUGAUGGAAGGAAAGAUGAGGCAGACGAUGGCAAUGAGUUUAUUGAUAAAUGGUUUUAUUUGAGCAUUGGGUUGGGAUUUGCAGCAGAGCCAGGUUCUUUCACCUCUUCUGGACGUUUGAGUGAGUGAGGCUGAGUGAAUAUGGCAGCAAAUUCAUUAUCAACAGUGCAGCCAUCAAUUCCAAUAUUUAGAGGUGAAAAUUACUACUUCUGGAGCAUCAAAAUGCGGACUCUUUUCAAGUUUCAAGAUUUAUGGGAGCUGGUUGAAUAUGGUUGUGCUGAGAUAGAUGAACUAACAAGAUUGAAAGAAAAUAAGAAAAGGGACUCGAAGGCACUAUUCUUUAUUCAACAAGCUGUCAGUGAAGAUAUUUUUCCAAGGAUUAUGAUAACAACUACAACAAAAGAGGCUUGGGAGACGAGUUUCAAGGUGAAGCCAAAGUAAUCGUAGUAAAGUUGCAGACCCUUCGGCGUGACUUUGAGACUAUAAUGAUGAAGAAUGGAGAAUCAGUGCAAGAAUAUCUCUCCAGAGUUUCAAUGAUCGUGAGCCAGAUGCGAGCACUUAGGGAAAAGUGCAGCGACCAAAUGGUUGUUGCAAAGAUACUGAGAAGUUUAACAACAAGGUUUGAUCACAUUGUUGCUGCAAUUGAAGAAUAAAAAGAUUUAACAGUUUUUUCUUUUUCUGAAUUAAUAGGUUUCUUACAAGCACAUGAGGUGAGGCUUAACAGGUCAAAUGAGCAAACUGAAGAGAAAGCCUUUCACAUAAAGGAGGAAGCUUCGACACAAAAGGAAGUUUUCAAUAACUUUGAUGAAUCUAAAUCGUUCACUGGAAGGGGUCGUGGAAGAGGAAGAGGACGCUUCCAGUCAGUUCAAUGCCACUACUACAAACGUUAUGGCCACAUUAAAGCAAACUGUUGGAAGAGGUUAAAACAAGCAAACUUAACUAAGAACCCAAAGAUGAUAAACAAGAAGAGAAGUUCAAAUUGUUCAUGACCAAGCAAGAAGGUGUGCAGGUUACAAAAGACGUUUGGUUCCUUGACAGUGGGUGUUCAAAUCAUAUGACAGGUAUUCAAUCUUUGUUUAAGGAUUUGGAUGAAACAUAUAAGGUUAAGGUAAGGCUGGGUGAUGACAAACAAAUACAAGUUGAGGGAAAAGGAACGGUAGCAAUUGGCAAUAGUGAUGAUAAAGUGAAGCUUAUUUAUAAUGUUUUUUUUUUGUGCCUAGCCUUUCACAGAAUUUGUUAAGUAUGGGUCAGUUGAUGGGUAAUGGAUUUUCUGUAUUGUUUGAAAAUGAUUCUUGUGUGAUUAAAGACAGGAAGAAAAAUCAUAUGAUUAUGAAAGUGAUUAUGACCCAAAAUAAGCUCUUCCCUCUUGAGCUUUCAAAUUUUGAGAUUCAUGCAUUGAUGGUAAAGGAGAAGGAAGAAUCCAGGCUUUGGCACAUGAGGUUUGGCCACCUCAGUGAAAAAGGACUGAAAUUGUUGAAGCACAAGGAGACGGAGUGAGGCUUGCCCCAUAUUAAGAUACUAGAGUUGUGUGAAGCAUGCAUCUACGAGAAGCAAAGUAAGAAACCUUUUCUUGUAGGACAUUCUUGGAGAGAACCUAAUAAUCUUAAUCUUAUCCAUGCUGAUUUAUGUGGCCCUAUGAAAACUAAGUCUCUUAGUAGAAGUCGUUUUUUUAUGUUUCUAAUAGAUGACUUUAGCAGAAUGAGUUGGGUUCUUUAAGGCAAUCUAAGUCAGAAGCAUUUGAAGCCUUCAGAAAAUUCAAAGUUAAUGUUGAGAAACAAAGCGGAAAGUACAUCAAGGCAUUAAGGACUGAUAGAGGUAGAGAAUUUACAUCCGGUGCCUUCAAUCUUUUCUGUGAAGAACAUGGCAUACUAGAGUACUAACAGCUCCAUACAUGCUAGAGCAAAACGGAGUAGCCGAGAGGAAGAAUCGUACGGUUGUUGAGAUGGCAAGAAGCAUGCUACAAGGAAAAGAGCUUCCUAACCAAUUUUGGGGAGAAGCUGUAGCCACUGCUGUAUAUGUGUUGAAUCUUUCACCAACAAGAGCCAUACCUUAUCAAACUCCAUAUGAAGUCUGGAGUGGAAGGAGGCCUUGGGUAAGCCAUUUAAGGGUCUUUAGAUGUAUUGCAUAUGCUUUGAUUGAUUCCCAUAAUUGAAGUAAGCUUGAUGAGAAAACUAUUAAGUACAUUUUUUUUUUGCUAUUGUGCUAAAUCUAAAGCAUACAGAUUGUAUAAUCCUGUUGGUGGCAAAGUUAUUAUUUGCAGGAAUGUUGUAUUCAAUAAGGAGGGAAGAUGGACUUGGCAUGAGAAUGAAAGGGGUAGCAUUCAAUUUGAAGCUCCAAUAGAGGAAGCACCUAUGUCUGGAGAUCCGCAACAAAAAGAUCAGCAACAAGCUUUCCAAAGUUUGCCAUCUCAAGCAUUACCUAUGUCUCCAUCUAGCAGUGAAUCUUCACAUACUAGCAGUAGUUCUUCCUCGCCAUUACAAAGCUCAUAUGAUGAGGUACCCUCACGAGGAUUCAAAACAUUAAGGAAGCUUUAUGAAACUACACAAGUAUUAUAUGUCUCAGAUCCAACAAACUUCGAAGAAGCUACAGAGAAGAAGGAGUGGAGUGAAGCUAUGAAAGAAGAACUUGUUGCAAUACAAAAGAAUGAGACAUGGGAGUUAGUGGAUCUCACUAAACGAUAAGAAGGCCAUUAGAGCCAAAUAGAUUUUUAGAACUAAGUACCAUGCUGAUGGGAGCAUACAACAGUACAAAGCACGCCUUGUUGCAAAGGGAUACUCACAACAACAAGGUAUAGAUUAUGAAGGCACCUUUUCACCGGUGGCUCGGUUUGAAACAGUAAGAACUCUCUUAGCAUUGGCAGCUCAAUUAAAAUGGUAUAUUUAUCAAUUUGAUGUAAAAUAUGCUUUCUUGAAUGAUGAUUUAGAAGAAGAGGUAUAUGUCUUAAAACCUGAAGGUUUUGCUGUAGUUGGAAAAAAAAAUCAAGUGUACAGGUUAAAGAAAACACUUUAUGGUUUAAAGCAAGCACCUCGCAUAUGGUAUGGAAAGAUUGAUUCCUAUUUUCUGCAAAAUGGUUUUGAAAGGAGCAAGAAUGAACCCACAUUGUAUGCAAAAAGGCAAGGUGCAAAUAUGGCCUCCCAAAAGUGUCAAAGAUUCAGGAUCUCAUCUUUAUGCAAAGCUGAAAGAGGCUAUCAUGCAAGUAAAGUUCAUGCUUGAAUAUUAUACUGAACAAUGCUUGUAGAUAUAUGCCAGAGUUCGUUAUUGAGAUAAUGCUUUGAGCAGUUUUUCUCUUCAUCAUGCAGACUGGAAUGGAAAAGAACUUGUCUAGAAUUAAAUCAUGUUUCUUUGGCAGCACCACCUCCUGCAUUUGCCUCAGAUCCAUUGGUUGCCAUUUCUUCAUCAUCUUCAGGGAUAAUAGAUGAAAUAUAAUAAAUAUAUCUGAAGAUUACUUAUCUACAAUUGGAAUCAAGUCUCUUAAAAUUUCAAUACAAGAUAGCCUGAACUCAGCAGAAAAUUAUUUGAAAAACUCAAGUCCUCUUAGUGUAAGCAUUUUCUUUUAUUCUUUG